rnacentral:rRNA from 1 species
GGGUGCGAUCAUACCAACGUUAAUGCACCGGAUCCCAUCAGAACUCCGCAGUGAAGCACACUUGGGAUUUGAAGCCCUCCCCCACGGCUCGGUGAUGUACAUUCAAUGUAGAAAUUUUGAUUCAAAUUAAUGUAUUCC